rnacentral:rRNA from 1 species
AUCUAUGGCCAUGCCACCCUGAACACGCCCGAUCCUGUCUGAUCUCGGAAGCUAAGCAGGGUCGGGCCUGGUUAGUACUUGGAUGGAAAACCAGGUGCUGUAGGCG